rnacentral:rRNA from 1 species
GUGAGUAGUUCAGAGUUUGAUCCUGGCUCAGGAUUAACGCUGGCGGCAUGCCUAAUACAUGCAAGUCGAACGAGGUAGCAAUACCUAGUGGCGAACGGGUGAGUAACACGUAGGGAACCUGCCUAUUAGUCGAGGAUAACUAUUGGAAACGAUAGCUAAAACUGGAUAGUAUAUCGGAAGGCAUCUUCUGAUAUUUAAAGGUCCUCAUGGGAACGCUAAUAGAUGGCCCUGCGGAGCAUUAGCUAGAUGGCGGGGUAACGGCCCACCAUGGCGACGAUCAGUAGCCGGUCUGAGAGGAUGAACGGCCACAUUGGGACUGAGAUACGGCCCAG